rnacentral:rRNA from 1 species
AACGAACGCUGGCGGCAUGCCUAACACAUGCAAGUCGAACGAGACCUUCGGGCCUAGUGGCGCACGGGUGCGUAACGCGUGGGAACCUGCCCUUAGGUUCGGAAUAACUCCCCGAAAGGGGUGCUAAUACCGGAUAAUGUCUUCGGACCAAAGAUGUAUCGCCUUUGGAUGGGCCCGCGUUGGAUUAGCUAGUUGGUAGGGUAAAAGCCUACCAAGGCGACGAUCCAUAGCUGGUCUGAGAGGAUGAUCAGCCACACUGGGACUGAGACACGGCCCAGACUCCUACGGGAGGCAGCAGUGGGGAAUAUUGGACGAGGGGCGAAAGCCUGGUCCAGCAAUGCCGCGUGAGUGAUGAAGGCCUUAGGGUUGUAAAGCUCUUUUACCCGGGAUGAGAAUGACGGUACCGGGAGAAUAAGCUCCGGCUAACUCCGUG